CACCAGUGACACCGCAGCCGCGGCUAUC
rnacentral:sRNA from 1 species